UGGGGAAUUUUGGACAAUGGGCGAAAGCCUGAUCCAGCAAUGCCGCGUGUGUGAAGAAGGCCUUCGGGUUGUAAAGCACUUUUGUCCGGAAAAGAAAUCCUUGGCUCUAAUACAGUCGGGGGAUGACGGUACCGGAAGAAUAAGCACCGGCUAACUACGUGCCAGCAGCCGCGGUAAUACGUAGGGUGCAAGCGUUAAUCGGAAUUACUGGGCGUAAAGCGUGCGCAGGCGGUUUGCUAAGACCGAUGUGAAAUCCCCGGGCUCAACCUGGGAACUGCAUUGGUGACUGGCAGGCUAGAGUAUGGCAGAGGGGGGUAGAAUUCCACGUGUAGCAGUGAAAUGCGUAGAGAUGUGGAGGAAUACCGAUGGCGAAGGCAGCCCCCUGGGCCAAUACUGACGCUCAUGCACGAAAGCGUGGGGGAGCAAAACAGGAUUAGAUACCCUGGUAGUCCACGCCCUAAACGAUGUCAACUAGUUGUUGGGGACUUCAUUUCCUUAGUAACGUAGCUAACGCGUGAAGUUGACCGCCUGGGGAGUACGGUCGCAAGAUUAAAACUCAAAUGAAUUGAC
rnacentral:rRNA from 1 species